CCCAUAUCCUGCUUUCAUCGAAGCAAUACAAGUACAUCUAUUCCAUAUUUCUGCUGCAUAAUAAUAUGUUAGCAAACACAAGAUGACAGCAAUUCAUCAAUCAUCCCAAUCACUUUCAAGUGAAAUGCACAAACUUGAAUUUGAAAAAAAAAAAAAGGCAUAGUGAAUUCAGCAAGUGUAUACUACCAACUUAUUCUAUUUGUUCUUGUACCAUAUUGUCAAGAUGAAUAGAAGCCUUCCUCAAUUCAAUAAAGUAAAUACUCCAUCCAAGGCAGAUUGCAAUUGAUAUAGAAGCCUUCACGGAGAACAAACUUCACUUCUCAUCCUUUGGUGGCUCAUCUUCCUUCUUCUUUUGUUUAGACUCAGAUUGGCCUUGCAAAGAUGCAAGCAGAUCUUUAACUGAAGGAUCAUUAGGGUCAACUCCUGGAAGUGAUGCAAGGACAGAUGACACAAAGGACUGAUCCUCCAGCGCCUUGCUCAUAUCUGAUUGACUUGAUGAAUCUUUUGCAUCAUCUUGCCUGGACAUUUGAAGAGCAAUAGCCAACUCCUCAUCCUCAUGAGUUGCUUCUGACAUAUCAACAUCAUGCACAGAGGGAUCAUUAUGUCCAGGAGUUUGCAUUGACAGUGUUAUAGCCCCUGGAUCAGUGUUGUUCCCAGAUGCUUCAGAAGCUCUAUCAUCAGCACUAUCAACCAUAACUGGAUCAGUAUUGUUCCCAGAUGCUUCGGAAGCUCUAUCAUCAGCACUAUCAACCAUAGUUGCAUCCUGGGAAUUGGAUGAUGGUUCCUCUACCUUUUCUUGUCUAGCUGAUUCCUCGGCAGCCCUCUUGGCAGCAGCUUCUUGCCUUACCCUCUCCUCUUCCAUAGAAACUCUAAGGGCAAGAGCUAGCUCAGGAUCUAAGUUAGGAUCUACACCAAAAUCAAAGUCAUUCCCUCCUGCUGCUGCAGGAAGGUCACUUCCUCCCCCCUCCCCAUUGAGUACAGGAGUACUGAUAAGCGCAUCAGAGAGGGCAUUUGGACCAGGAGGAAUGUGAACUAUAUGGCUGCUGUCAUUAUUGUUCACAGCAGAAAGGAGGGCCUCUAACUUCUCUGGCUUUCGACCAUCUUCUUCACCAAAAUUAACAAUAUCAAGAGCUACGCUGUUCUUCUUCAAUGUCUUCCCUAUGACCUCCAGCACCCUUUUGUCAUAUUUGACAGGACUUCCAGCAAAGACUAUUAUUCUUUGCUGCUGAUUUUUGUUCUGGCGAUGCUUAAGAGCUAGUUGAGCAACCUGGAUUCCAGCUGCCAUGUUCAUCUCACCCCCCAUUUCAACAUCAUGCAUACAAGCCAAAAUUUUGCCAAGGUCAGUAGUAGGAGUGGUCAAAACACGCACUCCUCUGCCUGCCAUUGUUAGAAUCCCCACUGUAUUCUCUGGAUUCGAUUGUGUUUUGGCGCCACAGAUGAGAUUAACAGC
rnacentral:misc_RNA from 1 species